GUGCUCACUUCGAAAGCACAUAUACUAAAACUGGAAUGAUACAGAGAAAAUUAGCGUGGCCCCUGCCCAAGGAUAACAGUUGAUACAAUCUUCAGCUCUUCAUUUAG